rnacentral:lncRNA from 1 species
GUUUUUAUCGUAUAUUUAGCAGUUCCUUACACUUAAACUAUGGUUUAAUCUCUUUACAUUCGAGGUCAAAAGUGAGACUUAUAUUGCCAUUUUCUAUUAAAUGAUCAUUAAAUGUAAGUCCUAAAUACACAAUCCGUGAAAAGGAGAAACCAUAAAUUAACCGACAACCAUUAAAAAAAAACUCAAUGCAAGCUCAUAAUGUAAAUUUCGAAAAACACACUUAGAAAACAAUUUACCGACAAUCCCAAAAAAACAACUCAAUACAUGCCCAAUUAAUAAUGAAC